rnacentral:rRNA from 2 species
CGGUGUUUGGCACCUCGAUGUCGGCUCAUCACAUCCUGGGGCUGAAGUAGGUCCCAAGGGUAUGGCUGUUCGCCAUUUAAAGUGGUACGCGAGCUGGGUUUAGAACGUCGUGAGACAGUUCGGUCCCUAUCUGCCGUGGGCGCUGGAGAAUUGAGGGGGGCUGCUCCUAGUACGAGAGGACCGGAGUGGACGCAUCACUGGUGUUCGGGUUGUCAUGCCAAUGGCACUGCCCGGUAGCUAAAUGCGGAAGAGAUAAGUGCUGAAAGCAUCUAAGCACGAAACUUGCCCCGAGAUGAGUUCUCCCUGAGACUUUAAGUCUCCUGAAGGAACGUUAAAGACGAUGACGUUGAUAGGCCGGGUGUGUAAGCGCAGCGAUGCGUUGAGCUAACCGGUACUAAUGAACCGUGAGGCUUAACCUUACAACGCCGAAG